rnacentral:rRNA from 1 species
GGAUGAACGCUAGCGGGAGGCUUAACACAUGCAAGUCGAGGGGCAGCAUAGGGUAGCAAUACUCUGAUGGCGACCGGCAAACGGGUGAGUAACGCGUAUGCAACCUACCCUGUACAGGGGGAUAACCCGGAGAAAUUCGGACUAAUAUCCCGUAAUAAUAUCCGGAGGCAUCUUUGGAUAUUUAAAGUUCCGACGGUACGGGAUGGGCAUGCGUAACAUUAGCUGGUUGGUAAGGUAACGGCUUACCAAGGCUAUGAUGUUUAGGGGUCCUGAGAGGGUGGUCCCCCACACUGGUACUGAGACACGGACCAGACUCCUACGGGAGGCAGCAGUGAGGAAUAUUGGUCAAUGGGCGCAAGCCUGAACCAGCCAUCCCGCGUGCAGGAAGACGGCCCUAUGGGUUGUAAACUGCUUUUCCAGGGAGAGAAACUUACGCACGUGUUGCGUGACUGACGGUACCCUGGGAAUAAGCAUCGGCUAACUCCGUGCCAGCAGCCGCGGUAAUACGGAGGAUGCAAGCGUUAUCCGGAUUCAUUGGGUUUAAAGGGUGCGUAGGCGGGCUAUUAAGUCAGUGGUGAAAUCCUGCAGCUUAACUGCAGAACUGCCGUUGAUACUGAUAGUCUUGAGUUUGGUUAAGGUAGGCGGAAUGUGUAAUGUAGCGGUGAAAUGCUUAGAUAUUACACAGAACACCAAUUGCGUAGGCAGCUUACUGAGCCGACACUGACGCUGAGGCACGAAAGCGUGGGGAUCAAACAGGAUUAGAUACCCUGGUAGUCCACGCCGUAAACGAUGAUUACUCGCUGUUGGCGAUACACUGUCAGCGGCUAAGCAAAAGCAAUAAGUAAUCCACCUGGGGAGUACGGCCGCAAGGUUGAAACUCAAAGGAAUUGACGGGGGCCCGCACAAGCGGAGGAACAUGUGGUUUAAUUCGAUGAUACGCGAGGAACCUUACCCGGGCUUGAAAUGCAGACGACCGACAGGGAAACUUGUCUUCCAGCAAUGGUGUCUGUGUAGGUGCUGCAUGGUUGUCGUCAGCUCGUGCCGUGAGGUGUCGGCUUAAGUGCCAUAACGAGCGCAACCCUUGCCAUUAGUUGCUAACAGGUUAAGCUGAGAACUCUAAUGGGACUGCCAUCGUAAGAUGCGAGGAAGGUGGGGAUGACGUCAAAUCAGCACGGCCCUUACGUCCGGGGCGACACACGUGUUACAAUGGGUGGUACAGAGGGUUGCUACCUGGUGACAGGAUGCUAAUCUCUUAAAUCCACUCUCAGUUCGGAUCGAAGUCUGCAACUCGACUUCGUGAAGCUGGAUUCGCUAGUAAUCGCGCAUCAGCCAUGGCGCGGUGAAUACGUUCCCGGGCCU